rnacentral:rRNA from 1 species
GCGAAAACUUUACAAUGCUGGCAACAGCGAUAAGGGAACCUCGAGUGCCAGGUUACAAAUCUGGCUGUCGAGAUGCAUAAAAAGCAUUUCAUAGCAAGGGCCGGGCAAGACCGGUGCCAGCCGCCGCGGUAACACCGGCGGCUCGAGUGGUAACCGUUAUUAUUGGGUCUAAAGGGUCUGUAGCCGGCCGGAUAAGUCUCUUGAGAAAUCUGGCAGCUUAACUGUCAGGCUUUCAGGAGAUACUGUCUGGCUCGAGGCCGGGAGAGGUGAGAGGUACUUCAGGGGUAGGGGUGAAAUCUUGUAAUCCUUGAAGGACCACGAGUGGCGAAGGCGUCUCACCAGAACGGACCUGACGGCAAGGGACGAAAGCUAGGGGCAGGAACC